rnacentral:lncRNA from 1 species
GCAUGGUGGAGAGGAGACGGAGUCUAAAACGAAACUGAGGCGGCGGCUCCCCUCCCUCCUGCCGUCCUCUCAGCCCUCCCUCCCUCCCUCUCUCUCUCUCUCUCUCUCUCGUUACUACUCCCUCACCAAGCAGCGUAAGAGGAUAACUCGCCCCGCAGAUUAUGUUCGCACCACAACAGCAGCAGCAGACAGGACAGGACGGGACAGAUCCACCGACGCCCACGGCAACCGAGCGGGACAAACACAACACAAGCGGGUUCCGAAUUACAACAAAAACGAAGAGAGAGAAACACAAGGAAAUCCCAUCGGCCGCUUCCCAAGGAGACACAAACACCCUGAUGAAACCUGGCCCCCUCCCCAGAGUCUCGAGUACGGCAGCUCGUCACCUGGUGCAGUCUAACGAGACUUUCUGUGGCUUGAGUCCCGUGACAAAACAAGAAAGACACCUGGGCGUAACCUGGCAACCACCAGCGGGCCUGCUGAGCUGGUACAUACAUUGAAAAAACUGAAACGAAUAGAAACGAAAACUGCCUCGAGACAUCAAACCCAGAAUCCAGCAUGGCAAUGUACAGGCCAGCGUAAUAUUAUUUCUGCACAUUUCAUAUAACGAGUAAAAAGGUUAAAACAAUGCGGUGUGGAUGGUUCAUUUUUUAAAAAUUCUCUAUUUAUUGCAUUAAGAUAUGUUUAUCAAAAUUAUCAAAUAUUUUAUUCAUUUCUUAUUGCAGAUGUUUUUCAGAAUAAUGAUAAUGAUUAUUGUAUGCUACUACUAAUAAUAAUCUUUUAUGUAUGUAUUAAUACAACGCUGAAAAUAUGAAAUAAUACAACUUAUUGCUUUUUUAUAAAUCAUGACAUGACUUAUGAAUAAUUUCACAGAUUUUGUAAGCGUUUGUACAGCCUUAAGAUAGAUGUUCACUAAACAUGAGUUGGUGGUGCUUAGCAGUAUUUCAGUCUAGAGACUACCAAAUCACAAAAAAAUUAAAAUGUUUCAAUUAUGAAAUGUUUCAGUCAGUCACAAAUUGAGCUUCAUUGGCUAACGACCCGACCCUGGAUGCUCAUGCAUGUAGAGAAUCCUUCAGCCCCAAAUACCUGAAUAUUUCACACACAGUUGUGCCACUAAACUUAGAGACAAUCCAUCCAAGCUGUCAGAAGUUCCUGUCCAGGCCUGAGUGCAGACAGGCAGGCAGACAAGACUCCAGUGACAGCGGCGCUGUGGCGCCCCCUGCUGGUUCCGCAGCUCAGAAACGCGGUACGUCUGAUGCUGGUCAAAUCUAAAUCGCGGAAGUUACUUUAAAUUCUGCCAUGUGUGGAUGAAUAAGAAGUGACCACGCUCCCACGCGUGGACACGUGGACACGUGGACUCAUGAACAACCGAAUCUUAUUUAUUGCAAUAUUUUGUAAGGCUAAUAAGAUAAAGAUGGAAAAAUGGUAAUUCCAAGGAAACUUUUAAACGGUCUUAAUAAUAAAUUCUGGUGUGGACUGUUUUGGACA